GANNNNNNNNNNAAGANNNCUUNNUNUNUUGCUGACGAGUGGCGGACGGGUGAGUAAUGCUUGGGAAUCUGGCUUAUGGAGGGGGAUAACUACUGGAAACGGUAGCUAAUACCGCGUAAUGUCUNNGGACUAAAGGGGGCGAAAGCUCUUGCCAUAAGAUGAGCCCAAGUGGGAUUAGGUAGUUGGUGAGGUAANGGCUCACCAAGCCGNCGAUCUCUAGCUGGUCUGAGAGGAUGACCAGCCACACUGGAACUGAGACACGGUCCAGACUCCUACGGGAGGCAGCAGUGGGGAAUAUUGCACAAUGGGGGAAACCCUGAUGCAGCCAUGCCGCGUGAAUGAAGAAGGCCUUCGGGUUGUAAAGUUCUUUCGGUGAUGAGGAAGGUGUAAUGGUUAAUACCCGUUACAAUUGACGUUAGUCACAGAAGAAGCACCGGCUAACUCCGUGCCAGCAGCCGCGGUAAUACGGAGGGUGCGAGCGUUAAUCGGAAUAACUGGGCGUAAAGGGCACGCAGGCGGUUGUUUAAGUGAGGUGUGAAAGCCCUGGGCUCAACCUGGGAAUUGCAUUUCAGACUGGACAACUAGAGUACUUUAGGGAGGGGUAGAAUUCCACGUGUAGCGGUGAAAUGCGUAGAGAU
rnacentral:rRNA from 1 species